GAUGAAGAACGCAGCGAAAUGCGAUAAGUAAUGUGAAUUGCAGAAUUCCGUGAAUCAUCGAAUCUUUGAACGCACAUUGCGCCCCCUGGUAUUCCGGGGGGCAUGCCUGUCCGAGCGUCAUUGCAACCUUCAAGCGCGGCUUGUGUGUUGGGUCUCGUCCCCCGUGGACGGGCCCGAAAGGCAGUGGCGGCGUCCCGACAUGGUGCCCGAGCGUAUGGGAAUCCUCUUCCGCUCGAAUCGGCCCAUGCGGCGCUGGUCGUAACCAAAUUUUUUACCGGUUGACCUCGGAUCAGGUAGGGAUACCUGCUGAACUUAAGCAUAUCAAUAAGCGGAGGA
rnacentral:misc_RNA from 1 species